GAUGAACGCUGGCGGCGUGCCUAAUACAUGCAAGUCGAGCGAACAGACGAGGAGCUUGCUCCUCUGACGUUAGCGGCGGACGGGUGAGUAACACGUGGAUAACCUACCUAUAAGACUGGGAUAACUUCGGGAAACCGGAGCUAAUACCGGAUAAUAUAUUGAACCGCAUGGUUCAAUAGUGAAAGACGGUUUUGCUGUCACUUAUAGCUGGAUCCGCGCCGCAUUAGCUAGUUGGUAAGGUAACGGCUUACCAAGGCAACGAUGCGUAGACGACCUGAGAGGGUGAUCGGCCACACUGGAACUGAGACACGGUCCAGACUCCUACGGGAGGCAGCAGUAGGGAAUCUUCCGCAAUGGGCGAAAGCCUGACGGAGCAACGCCGCGUGAGUGAUGAAGGUCUUCGGAUCGUAAAACUCUGUUAUGAGGGAAGAACAAAUGUGUAAGUAACUAUGCACGUCUUGACGGUACCUAAUCAGAAAGCCACGGCUAACUACGUG
rnacentral:rRNA from 1 species